UGUAAAGCAAAUGCACGAGCCUGCUAGCUUCAGAAGCCCAAUGCGUUGCUAAGAGGGGGAAAGGAAUCAGAGUGACUAAUUCACUCUUCAAGCCAAAAUUUCAAACAAGCUCCUCCCAAGUCCCUCACCGGAGCAUCAACCUUACCGCGCCAGAAUUCACUUCCGGCGGCGGCGGAGGUCCAAGUGACCUCAAACUUAUCCCAACUCGCUCUCUUCCAUACACUCAGUCACACACACACUCUCUCUCUUUCUCUCACACACACACUCUCUCUCUCUCACACACACACUCUCUCUCUCACACACGCACGCGCACACGCAUACACGCACGCGCGCGCACGCGCACUCACACACGCAUGCAUGCGGACACGCACACGCGCACGCACACGCGCAUACGCACACGCACGCGCGCGCACACACACCCACACACACACGCGCUCACGCACACACACACAAACACACACACACAAUCUCAAGCUAAUUUCUAUAAACUCCUAACUAUUUCAUAAAAUCGAGCCAAACAAAAUAAGAACCCUAGGUUAAAUAAACUUAAAUUAAAUGGCGUUGAGGAGGAAUCAAAUCCCGAUAUGUUAGAACUUUGAUUUCUUAGGCUUAAGUUUACAUGAUGAUAACUUACUUCAGGCAAAAAAGAACAAGGAAUUGAAAAUCACCAACCUACAAGGUCGAGGUUCACCCUGGUGAUUGCUGAAGGUUGAAGAAGAUGCUUACAAAGAGAAAACUAGAGGUAUUAACAGGUAUGUGCUUCAAACUCUCCAACUAUUUAUGUUGCAGAAAUUUCUUCUCUUCUUCUUCUUCUGAGAUCUUUAGUCUGUAGGAUUAAAUUGGUGUUGCUAUGUGUUAUUAUGGUAGUGUGUAGGAUUGAAGAGUGGUUGAGAGUGAUGAGAUUGAUUGAGAAUUUCCAGAUGGAGAAUUCAGAGAGAGUGAUUGACUGAGAAGUUGUAGAAUGAAUUUUUGUUGAUGAUUGAGAGUGGAGUAAAGAUUAUAUAGAGUGCGAUCAUAACAAAAUUGGGUAGUGGAAUUAGGGCAGGUAGUUAAGAGUUUGGGCACGGUUACUGUUAAUUAAUCUCAUGAGGAAAUUAGAUGGAUCAGUUAACUCUGUUAACUUGCUAUUAGAGUGAACUCGCAGUUACUGAACGAAGAUGUUAGAAUGAGUUAGUUUAUUUGACAGUUAGGUUAGUUAGAAUCUGAAUUGAAAAUGAAAACAGUUAGUGAAUUAGUUGAUUGGUUAAUUGGAAUUGAACUUAACGUUAGAAUGAUUUAGGAUGAUUAAGUGUUAGUGAAAUGAAAAGAGGUUGAACUGUUAGUGUUGAGUUUGGAUUUGAAUUUUAGUUAGUAAAAUGGAAUGUUAGUGAAUUGAAUUGAAAUUUGGAUUGUUCAAGUGUUAAUGGUGAUGAGGUUAAUUUUUGCUUUAGGCUUAUCCAUAACAUGGCCCUGUUAGUAUUAUUAAACUUUAAAAAACAGUUACAAACUAUAUGCUAAAUUAGCUUGAAUUGAUUGUUAACAUGACUGCUAUUUAUUGAAUUCAAAAACUGGUUAUGAAAUGAGCAUUUAUGGACUAUUAUAGAAUUAGCAUGUUAGGACUAUUAGCUUUUGCUAGCAGACUUGUUAUGGACUCGCUACUAAGUGAAUCUGUAAAUGAAUUGAAGUUAAAAUAAUUGACUGGUAUGACACAUUUAUUGUAUUAAUACUGGUAUGUGUUGAUUGUUGAUCAGAAAUUUGAAAUGUAUUGAAUUAAUCAUGAAACUAAUGAGUUAGUUUAGAGAGGUUGUUAGUUAAUGCUGCUACUGUUAUGAAUGACAAUGUGUGGGUGACACUUUAUGUUUGAAGAUUGUUAGAUGGUUAUAGAAUUAGUUCAUGAGUACUAUCUGUUUUGGAACCUAAUGCAAAUUGGCUAGGUGGCUUGAGGUUUAGAAGAACUGGUUAUAAUUUCCAUGCAUGAACUAGCUAAGUUGUAUUGAUGUUUGAACUGGUAUGGACCAUCAAUAGAUCAUUGAGUUAACUGCUAUGUAGUUUUGUAUUGAAGUGUACAUGGUAUGUUAUAUUGAUGCCCAUGUGUGUUUUUCGAUUGACAUGUUCAUAUGUGUGUAGGUGUUUGUGUAUGCAAAUUAUUCAUGGACAUUGGUUUAUUAUAUGUGUGAAUGUAACAUGUUGUAUAAAUGCAGGACUAAUGGAUAUGUGAGGUGGUUUGGCAUGGAAUGAAAUAUCACCAUAAUUCAUAAAGACUUGAUCAAAGCAUGUAGGAUAUUAAUAUGAUCAUGGCACAUGAAGGCAACAUCAUGGGGGCUCUUUACAAAAAAGAUGGCUUAUGAAUGAAGAAAAGUGGGGACUAAGUCCUAGGGUUAGAUAGUUGACUUCAGUCAACUUGUUUGACUAAAAAGCCAACAGUUGACCAAAGAUCAACCCUAGGUCAAAAACAUGUAAAAGAAUGUGUAGUUGUAAUUUUGGAUUUUUGUAAUAUGGAUUGGAUGCUUUGUAAUGAAAUUGGCCUUUGAAAUGAAUGAUGUCUUGUGCUUCAAAAACUAAUCUCCCUCCAAAAGUUGAAUUUGAAAAAUUGAAUUUGAAUUGCACUUGAAAACUUGACUAUGAA
rnacentral:lncRNA from 1 species